AGUGAACGCUGGCGGUAGGCCUAACACAUGCAAGUCGAACGGCAGCACAGUAAUAGCUUGCUCUUACGGGUGGCGAGUGGCGGACGGGUGAGGAAUACAUCGGAAUCUACUUUUUCGUGGGGGAUAACGUAGGGAAACUUACGCUAAUACCGCAUACGACCUACGGGUGAAAGCAGGGGAUCUUCGGACCUUGCGCGAUUGAAUGAGCCGAUGUCGGAUUAGCUAGUUGGCGGGGUAAAGGCCCACCAAGGCGACGAUCCGUAGCUGGUCUGAGAGGAUGAUCAGCCACACUGGAACUGAGACACGGUCCAGACUCCUACGGGAGGCAGCAGUGGGGAAUAUUGGACAAUGGGCGCAAGCAUGAUCCAGCCAUACCGCGUGGGUGAAGAAGGCCUUCUGGUUGUAAAGCCCUUUUGUUGGGAAAGAAAAGCAGCAGGUUAAUACCCCGCUGUUCCGACGGUACCCAAAGAAUAAGCACCGGCUAACUUCGUG
rnacentral:rRNA from 1 species